rnacentral:rRNA from 1 species
UACGAAGGGGGCUAGCGUUGCUCGGAGUCACUGGGCGUAAAGGGUGCGUAGGCGGGUCUUUAAGUCAGGGGUGAAAUCCUGGAGCUCAACUCCAGAACUGCCUUUGAUACUGAGGAUCUUGAGUCCGGGAGAGGUGAGUGGAACUGCGAGUGUAGAGGUGAAAUUCGUAGAUAUUCGCAAGAACACCAGUGGCGAAGGCGGCUCACUGGCCCGGUACUGACGCUGAGGCACGAAAGCGUGGGGAGCAAACAGG